GCGUGUCCAUUCUUUAUUAAGGGGCAUUUUUCCUGCACAUUUUUACAAAUGUUUUAUUUAGGAAAUUUGAGUUCCAUAGUCAUAUUACAGAGCAAAGCAAGUCGGUCGAGUCGUUCUUCUUGCAGAUGCAGAAUAUUUCUAGAUCAAAUUCUUUUUCAAGCGCCAACGCUUUGGCAUCGCUAAUAAAUAAAUCGUCGACCCUGAUCAAAUGUUCAUUAAACAUAGAAAAAGGAUAGUAUGAAAACAUUCCAUUCUCGGGUUAAACCUUUUGGUGAAGGAAAUUUAAGGUUAUGUUGUAUGCACAUCAACUUGAAACUUACUUUAUGUACAUUGUGCUAUUGUUGUAAUACUUGAAGUCUGUAACAUCGUUUGUCUCAUUGGCUAUUUUUGUCUUUUCAGUUCGUCGUCAUUUUUGGGUAGGUUGACCAGUUUAUGUUUGUGAGUCGGUCACAGCAAGGACUUAUAUACGUCCCUGGUCUGCCUGUGAUUCGGUCUACUGUUUGUCUGUGUGGAGGGUCUUAGUUUUUUUUUUUUGUUUUUUUUUUUUUUAAUUAGGCAGACCGUACACGUACGUUCCAAAUCCGCAUAUGGUCUGGAACAGAUAUGCAUGUUGACAAAGUCGAAGAUUACUUUUCUUGUGUAUCUU
rnacentral:lncRNA from 1 species